AACGACUCUCGGCAACGGAUAUCUCGGCUCUCGCAUCGAUGAAGAACGUAGCGAAAUGCGAUACUUGGUGUGAAUUGCAGAAUCCCGUGAACCAUCGAGUCUUUGAACGCAAGUUGCGCCCGAAGCCAUCUGGCCGAGGGCACGUCUGCCUGGGCGUCACGCGUCUCUUCGCACCCCCCCU
rnacentral:rRNA from 1 species